CUCCCCUGCUGUCGGCUGUCUAUUCCCACAGCUACUCUGUGGAGUGAAAUCAGUCUUAAGUGCUGAUCUGGGGUCAGAGUUGGGAUUUCCACAGCAGGAGCAGUAGAGGUCAGGAUCUGGAACAGAGAAGCUCGUCCUAAGUCAGCAGUCGGACAGGGGCCAUAAAACGUCUCUGCUGAUGUUCUUUCCUGCUGCUUCAGCACGAAGACGACUUUCCCCGCAGAUGCAUCAGGUGUAGCGAGCAGGCUGUUAUCGACAACAGCCCCUCGGGGAGGGAGACUCGGAGGACCCAUAUUGCACGAUGUCGGUGUGGAGCACGAGUCCUAAACGUCCGACAGAAAACCCGGGGGGACAAACACUCGCUUUGAAGGAUCUGCUUGACCCCUGGGGCCUCGGGUCAUUCCCUGGUCGGCAUCUGAAAUCCAUCCACGGAUGGGAGGGGUGUGAAUCUGAACCCAUUUCUUCCCGCUUCGUUCCUCAAAGACCGAGACUUUUGCGCCCUCUGAAGUUGGUCCAACAUCCCACACACAGAUGAGGACUUGUUUAAUGUAAAUCCAUGUGGACGGACCUCGAGAGCAGCCCUCUAGGAAAACGCUGGUCCAACUCCUUUAAACACGCUGUAUAUUUUUUGGGUGGAACACACAGCAGUGACUUAUUAUCAUUCCUUGUAUUUAUAAUUUUAUAUGUGUGUGGUUCAAACAUAGUCCAGUGUUUAUCCUAAGAUAAGCUAAUCACUCUCUGGCUCCAUAUCCAUGUUUAAGCCAUAGACUUGGUGGUAAGUGGUGUGGUAAUCAAAGAAAAGCAUAUAGUCCUGAUAAAAGUAUAUAUCAAAAUGUCUGUCUGACUUAUUUAUGAAUAUAUUGUACAAACAUGUAAAGGCUUUCACAGUGUUUAUAUGAGCUUUGAUCUUGACAUAUUUGUAAUUCUUUAUGGUAAUGGGGUGAAUUAUUUUAGUGUUUGUUUGCUACUCAUGAAUACAUCUGUUAGAAUAAGUUAGCAGCACAUGACAUCAAAACACUCUUUUCAAAGAGUCGUGAAACCUUUCGUUGCCACCAGGUUGAAGCUGAUGUAAACAAAUGCUGAAAUCUGUUGCGGAGAGCAGGACUUUAUCUGCCCAGCCUCUCAGGCUGCGUCCCAAUUCAGGGGCUGCAUCCUAUACAGGAGCCAGCCUUUACAUCCUUGGAUGUAGUUUCUCUGCAUCUGUUUAGCCUUCGGAGCAUUUCCUAGUUGCAUCACCAUGUUUUACCCUUAAAUCACAAUUUCUGCCGCCGAGGCCCGCGAAAGUGACAAUCUACACCUUGCGAUUGUCACUUCUUUCCUUUCUUGGCACGCAAGGAAUCUUGGGAUAUGGGAGGCUGCGAAGGAUAUUAGCGGUGCAUCCUCCAAAAAGAAGGCUGCAUUUAUAGGCUGCAUUUGGAGGAGCCUUCGAAGUGGGACAGCCUUCACGCGGCGUUGUGACGUAAUUGGCCUUCAAAUUCAUUCUCCCAAGGAUGCAGCCCCUGAAUCGGGACACAACCUCUGUGCAGGUCUGCAAUCACAACAGACCAGGAAAGAAACACCAAGCACCAAAC